rnacentral:rRNA from 1 species
AGUGAACGCUGGCGGCAGGCCUAAUACAUGCAAGUCGAACGGCAGCACAGUGGAGCUUGCUCCAUGGGUGGCGAGUGGCGGACGGGUGAGGAAUACAUGGGAAUCUGCCCAGUCGUGGGGGAUAACGUAGGGAAACUUACGCUAAUACCGCAUGCGCCCUUCGGGGGAAAGCCGGGGACCUUCGGGCCUGGCGCGAUUGGAUGAGCCCAUGUUCGAUUAGCUAGUUGGCGGGGUAAAGGCCCACCAAGGCGACGAUCGAUAGCUGGUCUGAGAGGAUGAUCAGCCACACUGGGACUGAGACACGGCCCAGACUCCUACGGGAGGCAGCAGUAGGGAAUAUUGGACAAUGGGCGCAAGCCUGAUCCAGCCAUGCCGCGUGAGUGAAGAAGGUCCUCGGGUUGUAAAGCUCUUUUGUCCGGGAAGAAAAGCAUCGGGCUAAUACCUCGGUGUUCUGACGGUACCGGAAGAAUAAGCACCGGCUAACUUCGUG